UACGGGGGGGGCAAGCGUUGUUCGGAAUUACUGGGCGUAAAGGGCUCGUAGGCGGCCAACUAAGUCAGACGUGAAAUCCCUCGGCUUAACCGGGGAACUGCGUCUGAUACUGGAUGGCUUGAGGUUGGGAGAGGGAUGCGGAAUUCCAGGUGUAGCGGUGAAAUGCGUAGAUAUCUGGAGGAACACCGGUGGCGAAGGCGGCUGUCUAGGCCAAUACUGACGCUGAGAUGCGAAAGCGUGGGGAGCAAACAGG
rnacentral:rRNA from 1 species